CGCGUAGGCGGCCUGACCAAGUCGGGUGUGAAAGCCCUCGGCUCAACCGAGGAAUUGCACCCGAUACUGGUUGGCUAGAGUCCGGGAGGGGGUAGCGGAAUUCCCAGUGUAGCGGUGAAAUGCGUAGAUAUUGGGAAGAACACCGGUGGCGAAGGCGGCUACCUGGACCGGUACUGACGCUGAGGCGCGAAAGCCAGGGGAGCGAAUG
rnacentral:rRNA from 1 species